UACGGAGGGUGCGAGCGUUGUCCGGAAUCACUGGGCGUAAAGGGCGCGUAGGCGGCGCGAGGAGUCGGGGGUGAAAGUCCGGGGCUCAACCCCGGAUCGGCCUUCGAUACUCUCGCGCUGGAGCACAGUAGAGGCGGGUGGAAUUCCGGGUGUAGCGGUGGAAUGCGUAGAGAUCCGGAAGAACACCGGUGGCGAAGGCGGCCCGCUGGGCUGUGGCUGACGCUGAGGCGCGAAAGCGUGGGGAGCGAACAGG
rnacentral:rRNA from 1 species